GUCGUCAUGAAUUUCCUCGUCAAUUUCUUCUAACAUUAUAGGUGGCUAUUCAAUUGGACAAGCGAGGUGCACCGCUUUCAGAGUGCACAUGUGCACAGAGCGCACUACUAUAUAUACAUUCAAUUGGACAAUCGAGGUGCACCGCUUUCGGAGUGCACAUAUACACGGAGCGCACUGCUAUAUAUAUAUAUAUAUAUAUAGGUCAACUCAACCUUGUGGAGGAGGCCGUUGGUAAAGGUGAGCAUGGCUACUGGCUACAUGAAAGGGAGUGUGAAUUGGGCAUGGCUGUGAUGCUUGGCAAGCGUCAUGACCUGCUUGACGGUGGUCACAGCACUGCUACCUGUUCUCUUCUUGGUAGAGAUGGGAAUAAGCCAGCCAAUCAGUUAGAAAAGCCUUGAGCCCGGAAGGGUGGCAUCUACAUUCCGGAUGAAAGCGAAGUAUAAAAAGCUUCGGGCAGUUGACCACCGCAAGGGAUAGAGGAAGGAGGAUGAUGAUGAACAUUGAAGAAAAACUAGAUCUUUUAUGCCCACGUGAACUAGAAGCUAAGAGAAAGAAAGACUUUUCAUACUUGAAUCAGCAGCAGAGGCAAACGAAGAGUAGUAACUCGAGAAGAAAAUCACAUUUGAGGCGAACGGAUAAGCACAGCAUCGACGAUGGCUACACGAAUGACGGUGCUGGCUUCGGGGGAGGAGGAAGAAGGCAGAUUCAGUUGAGAGGCAGCGCAGAAUGUCAGUGCUCUCAAAACUCUUUCUCUAGUCUAGAUCCAUCGAGAAAGAAGAAAGAAAGAGUUGAAAAAAUCUGAUGAAACCAAUGGCAAUUUAGUAAUUUUGCAUGACCAGAAAAAUAAAAAAAAAUUCAACUCUUCUUUUGUACUCUUCCGGAUUCAAACUGGGGAUCUGAUAUAUGAAGUCUUCCUCAACU